AAUCAACGCUGGCGGCGUGCCUAACACAUGCAAGUCGAGCGAGAAAGGGUAGCAAUACCUGAGUAAAGCGGCGCACGGGUGAGUAACACGUGGGUAACCUGCCUCGGAGUGGGGAAUAACACCGGGAAACCGGUGCUAAUACCGCAUACACCGAUGGGGUCUUCGGAUCUCGUCGGGAAAGGAGCAAUUCGCUCUGAGAGGGGCCCGCGGCUGAUUAGCUAGUUGGUAAGGUAANGGCUUACCAAGGCGACGAUCAGUAUCCGGUCUGAGAGGACGGUCGGACACACUGGAACUGAGACACGGUCCAGACUCCUACGGGAGGGCAGCAGU
rnacentral:rRNA from 1 species